UUCCUGGUGGUCCAGUGGUUAAGACUCUAGGCUUCCACCUUAGGGGGCACAGGUUUGAUCCCUGGUCUGGGAA
rfam:Ovis aries breed Texel chromosome 3, whole genome shotgun sequence.